rnacentral:misc_RNA from 1 species
AAAGUCGUAACAAGGUUUCCGUAGGUGAACCUGCGGAAGGAUCAUUAACGUAUCCAACGUUAAAACCCCCCUGUGAACCUUCAGUGCUGCUCGCCCGCUCCGUUAGAACGCGGCAAUCCCUGGUAAAUCAUCGCCGAACAGUUUUGAUUCAGUGUCGCUAACAAUGUUCAUGACCUUCGAAAAACACGAUCGCUAGAGGCCGACACGGCCGGCGACCGGGUCAGCGGUCCCUCGCCCCCUAUCACCCCUUUGCAUGAAAACGGGCCUGCGCUUAAUUGUGCGGCCACCAAAACUCGAACAACUGUUAACAAUGGAUAUCUUGGUUCUC